GGUCCCAGCCUUGCAAUCAAUUGUUACUUAAUAUACACAUGCAAGUCUCCGCACCCCGGUGAGAACGCCCUUCAACCCCUCCCGGGCCAAGGAGCUGGUAUCAGGCGCAAAUUUUAGCCCAAGACACCUAGCUACGCCACACCCACACGGGAAUUCAGCAGUGAUUAACAUUGAGAUAUGAGCGACAGCUUGACUCAGUCAAAGUAGACAGAACCGGCAAAUCUGGUGCCAGCCGCCGCGGUUACACCCCGGGGUUCAAGUUGAUUGCCUUCGGCGUAAAGCGUGGUUAAAGUCACACGAAAUUAGAGUCAAACUGGAACUAAGCCGUAACACGCUUGUAUCCGGGAAGACCAAAAACGAAAGUUACUAUAAUUUGAACAACUUGAACCCACGACAGUUGAGACCCAAACUGGGAUUUGAUACCCCACUAUGCUCAACCGUUAACUUUAAAUUACAUUCUUAUCGCCAGGGAACUACGAGCAAAGCUUAAAACCCAAAGGACUUGACGGUGCCCCAUAUCUAUCUAGAGGAGCCUGUCCUGUAAUCGACAAUCCCCGCUAAACCUCACCAUUUUUAGCCUCUCUCAGCCUGUAUACCUCCGUCGUCAGCUCACCCCGUGAGUGACCCUCAGUAAGCUUAAUGCCCGCAUGCGGCAAUACGUCAGGUCAAGGUGCAGCAGAUAAAAUGGGAAGAGAUGGGCUACACUUUCUAAUCUAGAAAAUACGAAAGACUAAUCAUGAAACCCAGUCAGAAGGCGGAUUUAGUAGUAAAAAGAGACAAGAGAGCUCUUUUUAAUUAGGCGCUGGGGUGUGUACACACCGCCCGUCACCCUCCUCAAAGCUAAUAAUACAGUUAUUAACACAUUAAAGCGCCGAAGAGGAGGCAAGUCGUAAUCAUGGUAAGCAUA
rnacentral:ncRNA from 1 species